AAUUCAAAUACCAAAUCCGACAAGAAGGAAGAGCUGAGGGCAAUCCCUCGCUAUACAGCAACGACCAGAAAUCAAAUUGAAGGAAGAGCUGAGGGCCAUCCCUCGCUAAAAAUUUACGACCACAAAAAUAAAUUGAAGGAAGAGCUGAGGGCCAUCCCUCGCUAAAAUCAACCAAGAAGGACGACCCCAACAGGAUCAUCAAAGGAAAACAGACGAUAUCACACUAAAUCCAGAAGAAAAGAAAACAAUUAAGUCGCAAACUGAACUGCAUAACUUAUAUUUUUCGGCACACGCGUGAUUUUAAUGGGUUCGUCUCUGAUCCCCAAAAUGUAAUCUAAUGACUGGAAAAUCUCGUCCGGUGUUUUUGGACUACCGAUGUUUCUAGGGCCAUCACUGUUCAAAGAAGAAGACCGAAAGCACUCUAAAGAAAAUGGUAUUGGAGCUGUUCGGCCUGCAUCUCUUAAGUUUCCUAACGAAGAAUAUAUUCUUAAUCCGUACGUAGUUCAAAACUGCGCAGUACAUGGCCAACUGCAAGCAAUGUAGUUGAUUGUGUACGUCGCACGUGUGGCGGCAACAAUGGAAAAUUUUGUGAGUUCCUGCCACGUCCUGAACGAUCUUUUACCAAGGCGGGCACCCGCUUGAAGUCGGGGAUCGUAGAUCAGCUAAUGUUUAUAAAUAAGAAUUACAAAAGCUUUAAAAGGUAGUCCCAUUAGACUGUAAGAUGAUCUCAUUUGACUAUAUUUUUAUUU